UGUUCUGUAGCUUAGUUGGUAAAAGCGCCGGUCUAGCGUACACGGAGUCGUGAGUUCGAGUCUCACUAAAACGU
rfam:Aedes aegypti strain Liverpool supercont1.237 genomic scaffold, whole genome shotgun sequence.